rnacentral:rRNA from 1 species
GACAGAGGGGGCAAGCGUUGCUCGGAAUCACUGGGCGUAAAGGGCGCGUAGGCGGGAUGGCAAGUCGGUCGUGAAAUCCUUCGGCUCAACCGAAGAACGUCGGCCGAUACUGCCGUUCUUGAGGGAUGCAGAGGAGAUUGGAAUUCCCGGUGUAGCGGUGAAAUGUGUAGAGAUGGGGGAGAACACUCGUGGCGAAGGCGGCCAGCUAGACCAGUUCUGACACUGAGGCGCGACAGCGUGGGGAGCAAACAGG